rnacentral:rRNA from 1 species
UGGGGAAUAUUGCACAAUGGGCGGAAGCCUGAUGCAGCAACGCCGCGUAAGGGAUGACGGCCUUCGGGUUGUAAACCUCUUUUAGUCAAGGAAGAAGCGAGAGUGACGGUACUUGCAGAAAAAGCGCCGGCUAACUACGUGCCAGCAGCCGCGGUAAUACGUAGGGCGCAAGCGUUAUCCGGAAUUAUUGGGCGUAAAGAGCUCGUAGGCGGUUUGUCGCGCCUGCUGUGAAAUCCCGAGGCUCAACCUCGGGCCUGCAGUGGGUACGGGCAGACUAGAGUGCGGUAGGGGAGAUUGGAAUUCCUGGUGUAGCGGUGGAAUGCGCAGAUAUCAGGAGGAACACCGAUGGCGAAAGGCAGAUCUCUGGGCCGUAAACUGACGCUGAGGAGCGAAAAGGGUGGGGAGCAAACAGGCUUAGAUACCCUGGUAGUCCACCCCGUAAACGUUGGAACUAGUGUGGGGUCCUUUCACGGAUUCCGUGACGCAGCUAACGCAUUAAGUU